GUAAUCCUCCCACACCCCGUCUUUCCAGUUUCCACCUCCCACAGAAAUCCCAAUCUGCGCCGCCACCAAAGCCUAUCCCCCGCGGCAGUUCUCGGCCCGGCUCUGCCCUCCGGCGCCAACUCCACCCUCGGCCGGCGACUUCCCAUUCUCCUAUGUCGGCAUCCUCGCUGGUCGGAGCCUCGCCGGCCGUCGGCGUACUCCCCGUUGCCACGCCGCGCCCCUCCCAACUCUCAUCACCACACCGUCCCGCAAGAUGGGAUCCGCCAUGUCAAGAAGAACUGAUCCUGAUGCAUCAGAUCUCAUGAAGUAAAUCUCGAUGGUGGGGGAGAAGGAGCGAAUACAUUAAUCAGGUGCAGGUUGGAAUGACUGGCCAUUAAGUAGACUACUUUUACUCUCUGUGGGAGAGUUCCAGUUUAAGUUGCAAUUCCAACAUGAUUUGCACGUUCAUUGUUUGAUGAUGUAUAGUUUUAGCUUCCAGAAACUAGCAUCACUUUCUCCUAGUACUUACGAAGCAAAAUGACAUAUCUAUGUGGGUUUUUAGUUUAUAGGUUCUGGCUUCACAUGACUUCGUGAGACUGACAAGGCAUAUUUUUUGGUCCACCACUAAUGGCUAGUGCGAUUAUUUUCAUGGAUUUUUGCUUACUUUAGCUCGGUAGAUGCUCAGUAUUUGUCUUACUUGUACCAUUUUGCGAAGUGUUUAUGCAUCUUAAUUAGGCAUGAGUAAGAUCAGAACAAGCCAAGUUAUGUACAUUUUGAAAAAGAUCCAAACUAGAUAUAGUUUUCCGCUCAGUUUGAUCCAGUACACCUGGUCAAGCAAAUUGUGGUUCGCCAACCUAUCUGAUAUAGCCUUGAAACAUUCUGUUUUUACACAAGUCAGCUAGGGCAUAGGGAAUGCAUGUUAGUAUCUGACAAUGGAGGAUGCGACUCACUGUUGAGUCAACAAAUUGACCAGAUCAACGCCCUGUUACACACAGCUGCCCUAUACCUAACCCCGCGAUGUUGAAGGAGGUAGCGGAGGUGCAGCCGUGUGUCCAUCCUCUCCCAUGGAAGGCACCUGGUACAGUGGUACCCCAUGAUCCUCCUUUCAGUUGAUUUUUUAUUGUCAAUUUGUGUUUUCGCCCAAACAUUUUUUUCCUUCUUCAAUAAGUACAACUCCCAUGAGCAAUUGAUCAGAGCUUUAAUUUCGGGUGUUGGUUGAGUUUACCUUGUUAUGUAUCAGAAUUAAUGAUGGGAUUCAUGUUUUUGUACAUAUCACGGAGGAUCUAGUAUGAUAAUAUUAAUACUUCUACAUAGUAUUACCUCACCUUCCAUACCAUUGUACACUUGUUUUGUGCUACUAUCCAAUGGGGGCACGUUUAUUUUGUUGCCAUGUCACAUAAGAGUAUAAUAUACUUAUGAUAUAUCCGAGAGUGUAUAUAAAGACUAGAUUUUGUAGUAUGUUAAGGUGAUCAAAGUUUCUCUGUGUUACCUUUAUACAUGACAACAGAUUAUAAUGCUGCCAAAUUUAUGUGGGCUAUAACCAAACAAAACACUGUAAUUUCGUUCUGACAACAGUUUAGCUGGUCAAUUUUAUACAGAUUGUAAUAAUAUCAAACUGAUGUGGGCUUUAACCAAACCACAUACAUUUUUUUUCUGUCCGCACAUUAACUGGUCAUUUUUAUACAGAUUAUAAUAUUGUCAAAUUGACGUGGGCUAUAACCAAACAUCACUGUGAUUUUUUUCUUUCAGCAAACAGCCAGUAAGUUUUUUAUUGCAUUGACACUAUCAUAAGAGACAAUGUUUUCUUACUGUUUGCAGAUAUUUGAGGAUUUAACAUUAUGGAAAUGUUCAGCAGAUGAUCUUUUGCAGGUGAAAAGAAUAUAUAUUUAUAAGGAGCAAUCAAUGUGGGACCAAUACAAGGAUUUAGAGGACAAAACUAAUUAUAUGGACAGAUUAUAACAGGUUUUAUAACGGAAAUAAUCUUGAAACGUGCAAGGGAAAUCUUCACAUUUUUCUAGAAGUCAUUUCCAUAAAAGCUGCGAAAGCCGUCAAGCUGAUGUACCAAACUAGCUAUAGAAUUUUUAGAUAGAUUUCCACUGAGAAUUUCCAGUUUUUUCUCAAAUUGGCUUCAACUUUUAGAUAGUUAGAAUUAGAAUUAGAAGUUUAUUUUCUAGUGAACACAUUAUUGUAUGAACGUGCAGUUCACUGGUAAAGUAUCAAUACCCUUUGUAAUAAAAAUAGUUGUAAUGGCUUGCACAUUGCUACUUGUUUUGUUGUGUUGAUUAUGAUAAACCUUUUCAGUUAA